AAUCAACGCUGGCGGCGUGCCUAACACAUGCAAGUCGAACGAGAAAGUGACUUCGGUCACUGGAAAGUGGCGUCCGGGUGAGUAACACGUGGGUAAUCUACCCUCGGGUGGGGAAUAACGGAUCGAAAGAUUCGCUAAUACCGCAUAAUGCAGCGGCACCUAAUGGUGAAUAGUUGUUAAAGCGGGGGAUCGCAAGACCUCGCGCCUGAAGAGGAGCCUGCGGCAGAUAGCUAGUUGGUGAGGUAAUGGCUCACCAAGGCUUCGAUCUGUAGCUGGUCUGAGAGGACGGCCAGCCACACUGGCACUGACACACGGGCCAGACUCCUACGGGAGGCAGCAGUGGGGAAUUUUGGGCAAUGGGCGAAAGCCUGACCCAGCAACGCCGCGUGAGGGAGGAAAUCCUUCGGGAUGUAAACCUCGCAAGCAAGGGAAGACAGCUAGAGAUUUAAUAAAUUU
rnacentral:rRNA from 1 species